UACGAAGGGGGCUAGCGUUGUUCGGAAUUACUGGGCGUAAAGCGUGCGCAGGCGGCCAUCCAAGUCAGUGGUGAAAGCCCGGAGCUCAACUCCGGAAUUGCCAUUGAAACUGUUUGGCUCGAGUACGAGAGAGGUGAGUGGAAUUCCUAGUGUAGAGGUGAAAUUCGUAGAUAUUGGGAAGAACACCGGUGGCGAAGGCGGCAUCCUGGACCGACAUUGACGCUGAGGCGCGAAAGCCAGGGGAGCAAACGGG
rnacentral:rRNA from 1 species